GAAAUGCGAUAAGUAAUGUGAAUUGCAGAAUUCAGUGAAUCAUCGAGUCUUUGAACGCACAUUGCGCCCCAUGGUAUUCCAUGGGGCACGCCUGUUCGAGCGUCAUUUCAACCUUCAAGCUUGGCUUGGUAUUGGGUCUGCCGCCUCCGGCAGGCCUUAAAGAUGUUGGCAGUGGGUGACCCCUGAGCGUGACGGAUUCACGACGAUGGGGGCGAUUCUAUGCCGAAAGUUUUCUUAGGUUGACCUCGGAUCAGGCGGGGAUACCCGCUGAACUUAA
rnacentral:misc_RNA from 1 species